rnacentral:rRNA from 1 species
ACGAACGCUGGCGGCGUGCUUAACAUAUGCAAGUCGAGCGGUAAGGCCCUUUCGGGGGUACACGAGCGGCGAACGGGUGAGUAACACGUGGGUGACCUGCCCUCAGCUCUGGGAUAAGCCUGGGAAACCGGGUCUAAUACUGGAUAUGACUCCAUGACGCAUGUUGUGGGGUGGAAAGCCUUGUGCGGCUGAGGAUGGGCCCGCGGCCUAUCAGCUUGUUGGUGGGGUGANGGCCUACCAAGGCGACGACGGGUAGCCGGCCUGAGAGGGCGACCGGCCACACUGGGACUGAGACACGGCCCAGACUCCUACGGGAGGCAGCAGUGGGGAAUCUUGCGCAAUGGGCGAAAGCCUGACGCAGCGACGCCGCGUGAGGGAUGACGGCCU